UACGUAGGGACCAAGCGUUGUUCGGAUUUACUGGGCGUAAAGGGCGCGUAGGCGGCAAUUUCAAGUCAUCUGUGAAAUCUCCGGGCUUAACCCGGAACGGUCAGAUGAUACUGCUUUGCUAGAGUGCGGAAGGGGCAAUCGGAAUUCUUGGUGUAGCGGUGAAAUGCGUAGAUAUCAAGAGGAACACCUGAGGUGAAGACGGGUUGCUGGGCCGACACUGACGCUGAUAGCGCGAAAGCCAGGGGAGCAAACGGG
rnacentral:rRNA from 1 species